UGGGGGAUAUUGCACAAUGGGGGAAACCCUGAUGCAGCGACGCCGCGUGAGGGAAGACGGUCCUCUGGAUUGUAAACCUCUGUCUUCGGGGACGAAAGAAGACGGUACCCGAGGAGGAAGCCACGGCUAACUACGUGCCAGCAGCCGCGGUAAUACGUAGGUGGCAAGCGUUGUCCGGAAUUACUGGGUGUAAAGGGAGCGCAGGCGGGGGAGCAGGUCAGCUGUGAAAUCUAUGGGCUUAACCCAUAAACUGCAGUUGAAACUGUUCUUCUUGAGUGAAGUAGAGGUUGGCGGAAUUCCGAGUGUAGCGGUGAAAUGCGUAGAUAUUCGGAGGAACACCGGUGGCGAAGGCGGCCAACUGGGCUUUUACUGACGCUGAGGCUCGAAAGUGUGGGGAGCAAACAGGAUUAGAUACCCUGGUAGU
rnacentral:rRNA from 1 species